GAGAGUAUAGCUCAGAGGUAGAGUGUGUGCUUAGCAUGCACACGGUUCUGGGUUCAAUCCCCUGGACCUCCA
rfam:Camelus ferus unplaced genomic scaffold scaffold155, whole genome shotgun sequence.